CCUUGUGGUUCUUGCGAGGGGCCCAGGACCCGAUCCCAUCCCGAACUCGACCGUCAAAUCCCUCCGCGCCAAUGGUACUAAGUCUCAAGACUUGGGAGAGUAGGUCACUGCAAGGUCUGCCAAAAACACACACUCUCUUCACAACCCAAAAUUACAAAACGCCCCCGCAAAAAAAAGCGGGGGCUUUUU
rnacentral:rRNA from 1 species